CCUACGGGCGUGCAGCAGUGGGGAAUAUUGCACAAUGGGCGCAAGCCUGAUGCAGCCAUGCCGCGUGUGUGAAGAAGGCCUUCGGGUUGUAAAGCACUUUCAGCGGGGAGGAAGGCGGUGAGGUUAAUAACCUCAUCGAUUGACGUUACCCGCAGAAGAAGCACCGGCUAACUCCGUGCCAGCAGCCGCGGUAAUACGGAGGAUGCAAGCGUUAAUCGGAAUUACUGGGCGUAAAGCGCACGCAGGCGGUCUGUCAAGUCGGAUGUGAAAUCCCCGGGCUCAACCUGGGAACUGCAUUCGAAACUGGCAGGCUAGAGUCUUGUAGAGGGGGGUAGAAUUCCAGGUGUAGCGGUGAAAUGCGUAGAGAUCUGGAGGAAUACCGGUGGCGAAGGCGGCCCCCUGGACAAAGACUGACGCUCAGGUGCGAAAGCGUGGGGAGCAAACAGGAUUAGAUACCCUUGUAGUC
rnacentral:rRNA from 1 species